AUGGCGCCGGUGAAGGUGUUCGGGCAGGCCAUGUCGCCGAACGUGGCGCGGGUGCUGGUGUUCCUGGAGGAGGCCGGCACCGACUACGAGCUCGUCGACGUCGACUUCCAGGCCAAGGAGCACAAGAGGCCCGACCACCUUGCCAGAAACCCGUUCGGGCAAAUCCCCGCGUUCCAGGACGGUGAUCUCCUUCUCUUCGGUACGUACUUAACCCCUCCCAUGAGCCAUGAUCACAAUCCUCACUUCUUGGUCAAGUUGGAUGAGGUUUUACGUUUUUUACUCGUGCAUGCAGAGUCAAGAGCAAUCGCCAAGUACGUGGCGCGCAAGUACAAGACGGACGAGGCCGACCUGCUGAGAGAAGGCGACCUUUCAGAAGCCGCCAUGGUGGACGUGUGGACGGAGGUGGAGGCGCACACCUACAGCGCCGCCCUCUCGCCGAUCGUCUACGAGUGUCUCAUCUUCCCUCUCAUGCACGGCAAGCCCACCGACGAGAAGAUCGUCGACGAGAGCCUCGAGAAGCUGAGGAAGGUGCUCGAGGUCUACGAGGAGCGGCUGUCCAAGCACCGCUACCUGGCCGGGGAUUUCCUCAGCUUCGCUGACCUCAACCAUUUCCCCUACACCUUCUACUUCAUGGCGACGCCGCAUGGGGCCCUGUUUGAGUCGUACCCGCGCGUCAAGGCGUGGUGGGACAGCAUCAUGUCCAGGCCGGCGAUUCAGAAGCUCAGUGCAACCAUGACACCAUGA
rnacentral:rRNA from 1 species